rnacentral:sRNA from 1 species
GAGAACCAGAGAGACAACGAACAAGAUGAGGAUAAAGCCUCACAUUCGGUCUGGAGUUUGUGGACAAAGCUAAAGAGAAAACAAACACUCCGGGAAGCAUCUGUGUCUAUGCAGACUCAAGACAGAAUCCCAGUCUCCUGUCCUUGGUGAACAGCCCCUUUAUCGUAGCAGGGCCUGUUCUGGAGAUGAGAGAACAAAUAGAAAUCAUAUAGAACUUGAAGUGGAGGAGGAGAAGACAAGGCUACUGGAGCGUGGACACCAGAGUUGGGUAAACUCUCCCAGAUAACAGGCCAUGAAAGAAAGGAGAACUCCAGGAAGCACUUUCAUUGUCAACCGGAGCUCUUCUUUCUUUUUCCUCUUCUUUUUCAUUUCUACACCUGUCUGAUACACUCAAGAGCCAAACUCAGAGUUCCGAUGGCACCAGUGAGUUUCCCUGUCUGAAGAGAUAGAGAAAAUGUUCCCAUGUCUUGCCUGUCAUCGACCCAGGUUCUCACACCGACUUUAAAUCUUUCCCUCAGUCUACACUGAAUAACCAUAUGACGCAAACGAGUGAGGAACUGAGCCAUCAGAACAUGGUGCUGGAGAGACGGCUCAGGGGUGAAGAGUGCUGGCUGUUCCUGCAGAGGACUGGAGUUCAGAUGCCAGCACCCACUUUGAGUGACCUACAACUGUCAGUAGCUCUAACGCCAAGGAAUUCCUUCUUCUGGCCUCCAUAGGAA